CUGUCUCUUGCUUCAACAGUGUUUGAAUGAAACAG
rfam:Myotis lucifugus cont2.8995, whole genome shotgun sequence.